rnacentral:rRNA from 1 species
AUUAUUUUAAGAUUAUUUUUUAUUGUUGAAAAAAUUAAAAAUAAAUUGUUUUUAACAAAAAUUAAAAUUUAUAAUAUUUCAUUUUUUGGUUUUUUGUUUUAAAUUAAAAUAAUAAAUAUGGGGGAAAAAAAAAUUUUGUUAUAAAUUAUAUUAGUUUAUUUUAAUUAAAAAUAUUUUUUAUUAAAUUUGUUUUUUUUAUUUUUUUAUAAAAAAUAUUAAUUUAAUUAUUAUUAUUGAGUUUAAUUUAGUUAUUUUUAAAAAAAUUUUGUAUAAAAUAAAUUUGAUAAUAAAUGUUUUUUAAAUUCUUUGGGGGUUUAGUUUAUGAUUUUUUGUUUCUGCUCAUUGUUAAAUAAAAGCACUUUUAGCGUGAUG